UAUCGCUGCGUAACAACUGGGAUUGGGAUGUCCUAUUGCAGUUGAUGAAUUGUUGACUCCUCACUUUAUCGGCAAAAGCAAUUCCAGCAGCCAUUCUUGACUUCUGUCCUCCUGAAUACACCUACUCAAAUCCACUAUCAAGUCUCUGUUUCUAAAACACUCUAGCAUUUUGAGCAAGUAUCAAGUCCACUCUACCAAAUCAGCUUACAAGUAAAUCGGCACUGCUUUAUGGUUAAAGAAAGAGUCACAUAGUAUCAGAUGUUUCGAGGAAGAAAAUCUUUUCGAGUAGGGUACAAAUAGCACAAUUCUUUGGAGUAGGGUACUAGUAUUUAGAGGUGACCUGAAGACACAACUCUUAUGCUUGAACCAUAAUAAUAAGCCUUUUCAUAAGGUAGUCUCAGAUAAUCAACUCUUAUGCAGCUUCAUCUCUUCCAAAUCAAUCCCUUGCUUAUUCAAUAA
rnacentral:lncRNA from 1 species